rnacentral:rRNA from 1 species
AUGAACGCAGCAUUGUUGCAGAGGAUGAUCUUGACCGUCGGUGGCAGGAAGCCACUGGAGAGGCUGUUUCCGAGGUCUCCAACCGCUCCUGCACUCACUGUCCAUCCAAUCGGUGUGCCACAUCUGAGGGAGGAUGAGACCCCCCCCCCCCCUCAAGGUGGGAGGCCUGGAUGGGCAGCGGUGCCAAACCCUCGAAUUGGCCCAUGGUUCCGGUUGAUGCAAAAGGUUGCUGCAGACCAAGGUCUUGUUCCAGAGUUUGAGGUGUGCGUGCAAACGAGCACCUCCGCAAGCCUGGACCAGAUCCUGCCAUGGCUCUUCUACCAUAAGGUCAUCGACGUCGCACACUUUUUGCUCUUCGUCGAGGGCAAGGCCGCCAAGCCCAGCGUCGCCGGGGUCCUCGAGUCCAUCCCCGGGUGUGAAGGUGGUGUACAGGACCAAGGAGCUUGA